CCUACGGGGGGCAGCAGUGGGGAAUAUUGCACAAUGGGGGAAACCCUGAUGCAGCGAAGUCGCGUGAGCGAGGAAGUCUCUAGGUAUGUAAAGCUUCAUCAGCCGGGACGAAAAAAGACGGUACCUGACUAAGAAGCACAGGAUAACUACGGGCCAGCAGCCGCGGUAACACGCAGGGGGCAAGCGUUAUACGGAUUUACUGGGUGUAAAGGGAGCGUAGGCGGCAAGGAAGGCCAGAAGUUAAAGGGCAGGGCUCAACCCUUGACAUGCCUUUGAAACUGUGGUGCUAGAGUGCAGGAGAGGUAAGUGGAAUGCCUGGUGUAGCGGUGAAAUGCGUAGAUAUUAGGAGGAACACCAGUGGCGAAGGCGGCUUACUGGACUGUAACUGACGUUGAGGCUCGAAAGCGUGGGUAUCAAACAGGAUUAGAUACCCCUGUAGUC
rnacentral:rRNA from 1 species